rnacentral:rRNA from 1 species
AUUGAACGCUGGCGGCAUGCUUUACACAUGCAAGUCGAACGGUAACAGGCCGCAAGGUGCUGACGAGUGGCGAACGGGUGAGUAAUGCAUCGGAACGUGCCCAGUCGUGGGGGAUAACUACUCGAAAGAGUAGCUAAUACCGCAUACGAUCUAUGGAUGAAAGCGGGGGACCGUAAGGCCUCGCGCGAUUGGAGCGGCCGAUGUCAGAUUAGGUAGUUGGUGGGGUAAAGGCUCACCAAGCCAACGAUCUGUAGCUGGUCUGAGAGGACAACCAGCCACACUGGGACUGAGACACGGCCAAGACUCCUACGGGAGGCAGCAGUGGGGAAUUUUGGACAAUGGGCGCAAGCCUGAUCCAGCAAUGCCGCGUGCAGGAAGAAGGCCUUCGGGUUGUAAACUGCUUUUGUACGGAACGAAACGGCUCUGGUUAAUACCCGGGGAUAAUGACGGUACCGGAAGAAUAAGCACCGGCUAACUACGUG